rnacentral:rRNA from 1 species
CGGUAAUUCCAGCUCCAAUAGCGUAUAUUAAAGUUGUUGCAGUUAAAAAGCUCGUAGUUGGACCUUGGACCUGGACAGGCGGUCCGCCUCACGGCGAGUACUGUCUUGCUGGGUCUUUCCUCUUGGUGAUCUGUUGUUUCGGCAGCAGGGAACCAGGACCUUUACUUUGAAAAAAUUAGAGUGUUCAAAGCAGGCUCGACGCCGGAAUAUAUUAGCAUGGAAUAGUAAAAUAGGACGUGCGGUUCUAUUUUGUUGGUUUUUGGAAUCGCCGUAAUGAUUAAUAGGGAUAGUCGGGGGCAUCAGUAUUCAAUUGUCAGAGGUGAAAUUCUUGGAUUUAUUGAAGACUAACUACUGCGAAAGCAUUUGCCAAGGAUGUUUUCAUUAAUCAGUGAACGAAAGUUAGGGGAUCGAAGACGAUCAGAUACCGUCGUAGUCUUAACCAUAAACUAUGCCGACUAGGGAUCGGGCGAUGUUAUCUUUUUGACUCGCUCGGCACCUUACGAGAAAUCAAAGUUUUUGGGUUCUGGGGGGAGUAUGGUCGCAAGGCUGAAACUUAAAGGAAUUGACGGAAGGGCACCACCAGGAGUGGAGCCUGCGGCUUAAUUUGACUCAACACGGGGAAACUUACCAGGUCCAGACAUAGCAAGGAUUGACAGACUGAGAGCUCUUUCUUGAUUCUAUGGGUGGCGGUGCAUGGCCGUUCUUAGUUGGUGGAGUGAUUUGUCUGGUUAAUUCCGAUAACGAACGAGACCU